GGAACCGUGGUAUAGGGGUAAGCGUGAUUGCCUCUCACCCAGUCGGCCUGGGUUCGAACCCAGACGGUUCCG
rnacentral:tRNA from 1 species